GCGAGAUGGAUGCCGAAAAAGCUGAUGAAAAGGUGAAGACGACGAUGCAUUCGUGGUUCGCAGCUCAGCCCAAAACAUUUUUUAAUGAGAAAAUACAAAGGUCCUUCGGCAAAUGGACAAAGUGUAUACAGAAAUCGAGUGAUUAUGUCAAAAAAUGAUGUAUGUCUUUUUUGACAAUUGCUUAAAAUAAAUUCUACACCGACAGAGCGGGCUGUUAAUCUAGAGGCUGGAGUACAAAGAAGUGGCACAAUGAUGUGGGCUGAUGACAUUUAUAAUUAUCAAGGAAUCACCCCUACAUUCGCUCAGAAUUUUAAUGAAACUGUCCCUUGGGAAGGAAGAACUGAUACCUUGAUAUCACGGUUUGUACAUCCUAUAUAUACGACAAAUUUUAGAACAUUAUAUAACGAAGAACCAGAUCGUCGUGGCCAUGUGAUGUGAAUAAAAGGACUUGAAUUUGAUGAUAUUUUUAUAAUGUUAGAUAACAUAACUAAGUAUCUUCACAGUAAGAUAGGAUGACAUGGUUUACAUGAUCUUAAUGUUGUUCACUCGAGUGAUGAUAUUAUAAGGAAAAGUGUAAUAUCACAGGAUAUUUAUGUUUAGUAACCAGUAAUUCAGAGAUUGGUAUUCAUGGUUACUAUAACGAGGCUGUAGAAACGCACCCUUUCUUCUUUGCAAAUGGUCCUGUAUUUAUGUCUAAGCCGAAACUGGAACCUCUGAAUAAUUUAGAUUUAUUCUUGUUAUUUUCUAAAAUACUUAUCUACAGUAUACCAUAAGGAAUGAUACCGUAUCGCACCUAAUCAAGUGCCUUAAGAAACAUCAACAGGAUAUCACAGUAAUCCCUUAUCGACUGAUAUUUGUAGCCACUACAAUAUCUAUGACACUGGUAGUAAUUAUAAGAACAAUAAUGAUGUUCUAUAAGAGGAAAUGAUGAUUAGGAACAAAAACUUACAGG